rnacentral:rRNA from 1 species
ACCUGGUUGAUCCUGCCAGUAGUCAUAUGCUUGUCUCAAAGAUUAAGCCAUGCAUGUCUAAGUAUAAGCGAGUAUACUGUGAAACUGCGAAUGGCUCAUUAAAUCAGUUAUGGUUUAUUUGAUGGUACCUUGCUACUUGGAUAACCGUAGUAAUUCUAGAGCUAAUACAUGCAGGAGUUCCCGACUUCGGAAGGGAUGUAUUUAUUAGAUAAGAAACCAAACCGGUCUCCGGUUGCGUGCUGAGUCAUACUAACUGCUCGAAUCGCACGGCUUUACGCUGGCGAUGGUUCAUUCAAAUUUCUGCCCUAUCAGCUUUCGAUGGUAGGAUAGAGGCCUACCAUGGCGUUAACGGGUAACGGAGAAUUAGGGUUCGAUUCCGGAGAGGGAGCCUGAGAAACGGCUACCACAUCUAAGGAAGGCAGCAGGCGCGUAAAUUGCCCGAAUCCUGACACAGGGAGGUAGUGACAAGAAAUAACAAUACAGGGCUCUUCGAGUCUUGUAAUUGGAAUGAGUACAAUUUACAUCUCUUCACGAGGAUCAAUUGGAGGGCAAGUCUGGUGCCAGCAGCCGCGGUAAUUCCAGCUCCAAUAGCGUAUAUUAAAGUUGUUGCAGUUAAAAAGCUCGUAGUUUGAUUUCUGGACGGGCGCUAACACCCGCUUGUUUAGUGAGGGGUCGGCGCCCGCCCAUCCUUCUGUUAACGCCACCGGCAUUCACUUGCUGGCGGCGGGCUCAGAUAUUUUACCUUGAGAAAAUUAGAGUGUUUCAGGCAGGCUUGCGCCUAGAUACAUUAGCAUGGAAUAAUAGAAUAGGACUUUGGCCUCUUCUGUUGGUCUGAGGGGUUAGAGUAAUGAUUAAUAGGGAUAGUUGGGGGCAUUAGUACUUAACUGCUAGAGGUGAAAUUCUCAGAUUUGUUAAAGACUAACUUAUGCGAAAGCAUUUGCCAAGGAUGUUUUCAUUAAUCAAGAACGAAAGUUAGGGGAUCAAAGACGAUCAGAUACCGUCCUAGUCUUAACCAUAAACUAUGCCGACUCGGGAUCGGGGGCGAGCAUUAUCCGUCUUCGGCACCGUAUGAGAAAUCAAAGUCUUUGGGUUCCGGGGGGA